rnacentral:misc_RNA from 1 species
GCCACACUUUGUACCAUUUCCAUAAAGUUUUCUAAGUUCUUGUUCCUCAGUAGCAUUCAUAAGGAAAACAGCUUUACCGGGAGUAUAAGAUCCAUCUCCAACUUUUCUAACAAAAGUAAUGUUUCCUUUUUGUGCCUUGACCUUAGCAUAGUCAGUACUGUUAAGGUAAGUGAAGAAUUUUUUGCAUUGAUCAACAUUAGAAAGUACCCAAGUUUCAG